rnacentral:rRNA from 1 species
CCUACGGGGGGCAGCAGUGGGGGAUAUUGGACAAUGGGGGGAACCCUGAUCCAGCGACGCCGCGUGAGUGAAGAAGUAUUUCGGUAUGUAAAGCUCUGUCAGCAGGGAAGAAAGAAAUGACGGUACCUGACCAAGAAGCCCCGGCUAACUACGUGCCAGCGGCCGCGGUAAUACGUAGGGGGCAAGCGUGAUCCGGAAUUACUGGGGGCAAAGGGAGCGUAGACGGUGAAGUAAGUCUGGAGUGAAAGGCCGGGGCUCAACCCCGGGACUGCACUGGAAACUGUUUAACUUGAGUGCAGGGGAGGGAAGCGGAAUUCCUAGUGUAGCGGUG